AGUGAACGCUGGCGGUAGGCCUAACACAUGCAAGUCGAACGGCAGCACAGGAGAGCUUGCUCUCUGGGUGGCGAGUGGCGGACGGGCGAGGAAUACAUCGGAAUCUACUUUUUCGUGGGGGAUAACGUAGGGAAACUUACGCUAAUACCGCAUACGACCUACGGGUGAAAGCAGGGGACCGUCGGGCCUUGCGCGAUUGAAUGAGCCGAUGUCGGAUUAGCUAGUUGGCGGGGUAAAGGCCCACCAAGGCGACGAUCCGUAGCUGGUCUGAGAGGAUGAUCAGCCACACUGGAACUGAGACACGGUCCAGACUCCUACGGGAGGCAGCAGUGGGGAAUAUUGGACAAUGGGCGCAAGCCUGAUCCAGCCAUACCGCGUGGGUGAAGAAGGCCUUCGGGUUGUAAAGCCCUUUUGUUGGGAAAGAAAUCCAGCUGGUUAAUACCCGGUUGGGAUGACGGUACCCAAAGAAUAAGCACCGGCUAACUUCGUGCCAGCAGCCGCCGUAA
rnacentral:rRNA from 1 species